AGCCCCUUUCCGAUCUCCCCUCUCACUGGAAUUCCCUUGGGAAGAAGCAAGGGACAGCGAUGCUGGACCAGACCUCACACUGAAGCUCGGUGGGCUGUGAUUCCUGACCGGCACUGGAGGAAAAGGAAAUGAGAUUCUACAAACUGCCUUUUUCUGUCCCAUGUAAACAUGUCUAUGGAAGGGCAGCUGUCUGCAGAGAAACGUGAGGACAAUGGAGUUCAAAGUCACAGAAAGACAUGAAUUUUGAACUUGAGCUCCAGGACCAAAUUCUCCUAGAGUACAGAGGAUCAAUGAGGCACGUAUUAAGAGACGUCAUGAGGAAGAACCAAUAAAAACCCCAUAUUAUUUAA